CCGGGUGUAGCGAAGGUGGUAUCGCGCUCGAUUGGGGAGCAAGAUGCCGGGCGUUCGAGUUGCCCCACUCGCU
rnacentral:tRNA from 1 species